UACGAAGGGUGCAAGCGUUACUCGGAAUUACUGGGCGUAAAGCGUGCGUAGGUGGUUGUUUAAGUCUGUUGUGAAAGCCCUGGGCUUAACCUGGGAAUUGCAGUGGAUACUGGGCGACUAGAGUGUGGUAGAGGGUAGUGGAAUUCCCGGUGUAGCAGUGAAAUGCGUAGAGAUCGGGAGGAACAUCCAUGGCGAAGGCAGCUACCUGGACCAACACUGACACUGAGGCACGAAAGCGUGGGGAGCAAACAGG
rnacentral:rRNA from 1 species